CACACACACAUGCGUGUAUAACAUUCUGGAUAAGCACCAAUUUUUAGGAAUGUAUCACUUCAAGUGAAACCUCUUUCUUGCAUGUGUGUGACAUAUGCAUGUGUGUGCAUGGGUCUGUGGGUGCAUGUGUCCAUGAGUGCAUCUACGGAUGUCACGGAAUCCAGUUGCAUAUACUGUUCUGUGGAACCCAGACACUCAGUUAUGUCUUCCAGUCCACCUGUGUCUUUAGAUCCACAGCAGGGAUGAGUAGGAGAGGAAGAAGGUUCACGCUACGUCUGGUAAGCAAAUGAUAUCACAGACGCUCAGUGUGGUGAACUCCCACGUCAGGCUCAUUUCUGUAGUCACGGCAGGAAAGAAGAAAUGGAGAUCAGCCUGGCACUGUGGCUUUCUAGGGCUGCAGCCGCUAGCAGUGUGCAUGAGAGAUUCAUGCAGCUCUCAGACCUCAUCAGAGAAGUAUCUUCGUGCAGUAGAUGGUGGCUAACACAGAAACUCACAACCACAGGGCAGAGAAUAAAUAUCACUGGACGGCUCAGCAAAUGGGACAUCUGUAUCAUUCCGCAUCCCCAAGGCUCAGGAAUCAUCAUGGAAGAUGGGGUGACGACUGUAAGAGCCAGAGGUCAGGGAGGACCCGGGUGAGAGUUCUUCUGGACAUGACUGGAGCUGCACUCGGGAACUCACAGCCACUGUGGUCACAAGACCAGGCCAGCCGGCAUCCCAGCACAAGGAGGGGGGAAGCUGAUGCCUUCUGGAGGAGAAAGAAUUCGUUUUCUUUAGGUGCACAGCCCCUAGUCGGCUAGUCAAGCACGCUCCAGUGACUAGUCCCACACUCGGGAGUAAGUGUGUUUAAAAGGGGGGGGGGGGUGCAAGGAAAUAAACAAAAUCAAGGGCAUGAAUUGGGGAGAGGGUGAGGACAGCGGUGGAUCUCAGAGGAGUUAGGGUAGACAAUGGGGGUGGACAUAAUCAAAAUACAUUGUAAGCAUGUAUGAGAAUCUCAGGAAAUUAAUUAAAAUACUAUGUUUAAGAAUACUUUACCUCAUGAAUUUUAGGAAGCCACAGUAAUGUGGUAUUUUAGGGGGUUGCUUUCUUGGAGUUUUUCUGAGGGGAUGAACAGUGACUCCUGUGGCUUGGGCUGGCUGCCAACUCACUAGGUACCCCAGGAUGACCUUGAAUUUUGAGCCUCUUGCUUCUACCUCCUGAGUGCUGGGAUGACAGGCGUGCACCCCCACAUUUGGUUUUGUACAGUUCUGGGAUUUGAACCUUUGGCUUUAUGUGUGUGCCAGGCAAUCAGUCUACCAACUGGGCCCCAUCUCUAGGUCCUAUUUUUGUUUGUUUGUUUGUUUUUGUAUCUCUUGGUGAAAUUUUGUGCUUUGGUAGAAGAUAACAUGCUCUUUAGAAAAGGGCAGACUGCAACCACUGGGCAAUAUGUUGCCACCACUUAUGUGUAAAUAAAGCUUUAUUAGCACACAA